rnacentral:rRNA from 1 species
UAGUGGCGGACUGGUGAGUAACGCGUGAGGAACCUGCCUUUCGGAGGGGGACAACAGUUGGAAACGACUGCUAAUACCGCAUGAUACAUUGGGGUCGCAUGGCUCUGAUGUCAAAGAUUUAUCGCCGAAAGAUGGCCUCGCGUCUGAUUAGCUAGUUGGUGGGGUAACGGCCCACCAAGGCGACGAUCAGUAGCCGGACUGAGAGGUUGGCCGGCCACAUUGGGACUGAGAUACGGCCCAGACUCCUACGGGAGGCAGCAGUGGGGAAUAUUGGGCAAUGGACGCAAGUCUGAACGAGCAAUGCCGCGUGAACGAGGAAGGUCUUCGGAUCGUAAAGUUCUGUUGAAGGGGAAAAAGAGCGGAGAGAGGAAAUGGUCUCCGAUUGAUAUUACCCUUCGAGGAAGUCACGGCUAACUACGUGCCAGCAGCCGCGGUAAUACGUAGGUGGCGAGCGUUAUCCGGAAUGAUUGGGCGUAAAGGGUGCGUAGGCGGCCUGCUAAGUCUGGAGUGAAAGGUACCGGCUCAACCGGUACAGGCUCUGGAAACUGGCGGGCUAGAGAGCAGGAGAGGGCGGUGGAACUCCAUGUGUAGCGGUAAAAUGCGUAGAUAUAUGGAAGAACACCAGUGGCGAAGGCGGCCGCCUGGCCUGUUACUGACGCUGAGGCACGAAAGCGUGGGGAGCAAAUAGGAUUAGAUACCCUAGUAGUCCACGCCGUAAACGAUGAGGACCAAGUGUUGGGGAAGACCCAGUGCUGCAGUUAACGCAGUGAGUCCUCCGCCUGGGGAGUAUGCACGCAAGUGUGAAACUCAAAGGAAUUGACGGGGGCCCGCACAAGCGGUGGAGUAUGUGGUUUAAUUCGAAGCAACGCGAAGAACCUUACCAGGCCUUGACAUAGGGUGCGAAGGUAUAGAGAUAUACUGGAGGUAAACAUCCAUACAGGUGGUGCAUGGUUGUCGUCAGCUCGUGUCGUGGGAUGUUCAGUUAAGUCUGGCAACGAGCGCAACCCUCGUGAUGUGUUACCAAUAUCGAGUUAGGGACUCACAUCAGACUGCCGGUGAGAAACCGGAGGAAGGCGGGGAUGACGUCAAAUCAUCAUGCCCCUUAUGGCCUGGGCUACACACGUACUACAAUGGCGGCGACAGAGGGCAGCGAGCCUGCGAAGGCAAGCGAAUCCCCAAAAAGCCGUCCCAGUUCGGAUUGGAGUCUGCAACCCGACUCCAUGAAGUUGGAAUCGCUAGUAAUCGCGGAUCAGCAUGCCGCGGUGAAUACGUUCUCGGGCCUUGCACUCACCGCCCGUCAA